rnacentral:rRNA from 1 species
GACGAACGCUGGCGGCGUGCCUAAUACAUGCAAGUCGAACGGUCUUUUCUAUGGAAGCUUGCUUCCGCUGAGAAGAUAGUGGCGAACGGGUGAGUAACACGUGGGUAACCUGCCCAUAAGAGGGGGAUAACAUCCGGAAACGGGUGCUAAUACCGCAUAGUUUUCUUGAUCACAUGAUUGAGAAAGGACAGACGGCCUUUGUGCUGUCGCUUAUGGAUGGACCCGCGGCGUAUUAGUUAGUUGGUGAGGUAACGGCUCACCAAGACGAUGAUACGUAGCCGACCUGAGAGGGUGAUCGGCCACAUUGGGACUGAGACACGGCCCAAACUCCUACGGGAGGCAGCAGUAGGGAAUCUUCCGCAAUGGACGAAAGUCUGACGGAGCAACGCCGCGUGAGUGAAGAAGGUUUUCGGAUCGUAAAACUCUGUUGUCAGAGAAGAACAAGUCGGAGAGUAACUGCUCCGGCCUUGACGGUAUCUGACCAGAAAGCCACGGCUAACUACGUGCCAGCCGCCGCUGUAACAC